CCUACGGGUGGCAGCAGUGGGGAAUAUUGCGCAAUGGGCGAAAGCCUGACGCAGCGACGCCGCGUGAGGGAUGAAGGUCUUCGGAUCGUAAAACUCUGUCAGCAGGGAAGAACGGUCACUGUGCUAAUCAUCCGUGAAUUGACGGUACCUACACAGAAAGCACCGGCUAACUCCGUGCCAGCAGCCGCGGUAAUACGGAGGGGGCGAGCGUUAAUCGGAAUUACUGGGCGUAAAGCGCGCGUAGGCGGUAUGUCAAGUCAAAGGUGAAAGCCCAGGGCUCAACGGGGGAAAUGCAUUUGAAACUGGAAAACGUGAGUGUGGGAGAGGAGAGUGGAAUUCCAGGUGUAGGAGUGAAAUCCGUAGAGAUCUGGAGGAACACCAGUGGCGAAGGCGACUAUCUGGCAUAUAACUGACGCUGAGGAGCGAAAGCGUGGGUAGCAAACAGGAUUAGAUACCCGAGUAGUC
rnacentral:rRNA from 1 species